rnacentral:rRNA from 1 species
GUAGGUGGCAAGCGUUGUCCGGAAUUAUUGGGCGUAAAGCGCGCGCAGGCGGUCCUUUAAGUCUGAUGUGAAAGCCCACGGCUCAACCGUGGAGGGUCAUUGGAAACUGGGGGACUUGAGUACAGAAGAGGAAAGCGGAAUUCCAAGUGUAGCGGUGAAAUGCGUAGAGAUUUGGAGGAACACCAGUGGCGAAGGCGGCUUUCUGGUCUGUAACUGACGCUGAGGCGCGAAAGUGUGGGGAGCAAACAGGAUUAGAUACCCUGGUAGUCCACGCCGUAAACGAUGAGUGCUAAGUGUUAGGGGGUUUCCCGCCCCCCUUAGUGCUGCAGCUAACGCAUUAAGCACUCCGCCUGGGGGAGUACGGCCGCAAGGCUG